CGUCACACUGCAGAGCCGAAGAACGAGAAAGGAUGAGAAGAGGCAGAGAAGGUGGGAAAAAAAGGAAACACUGCAGCCGAGCGAAAAGCCAGAGAGUGUGGGAAGGCGGCGCCGGCGACGCCAGUAUUUAUGGACCACCUUGGGGAAGACCGCAAGCUGGGAAGAAUGCGUGUAGGCUCCCACUCAGGAAGAAUCUGGAGUGAAUCCCAGGGCUCAGUGCUGUUGCUCAACAGCCGUUGAACCCCAGCCCAGGCCUGCGGCUGCUCUCUGUGAGCCGAUGUCCACUCAGAUGCUCAAUUACUCCUCUCACGUGGCUGCAUUUCUGGGAGCCCUGGGUCCAUGUGAUAGUGCGGUCCCUGGGGAGCACAUCUCGAAAGGAGGCUAGAAUCUGAGAAGACAGUAACCUCAAAAGGAGCUGGGCUGCACCCCUGUCCUUCCUUGAAGGGAGAUCCUGGGCUGUGUCUCUCCACGUCCUCCAUCUCCUUAUGCUGCUUGGAUCUGGUCUCCAUGUGGAUUGAGAAAGCAACUUCUCCAGGAUUCCAGUGACCCCUCUUCUUAAGAUCCCCCUCACCCAUGGCUACCACCUUUCCGGACUUGGAGCCUUCCCUGGGAGCUUGAAGGAGACUGUCAUCAAUAAGGUGCCUGAGCCCUGGUCACCAUUUCCUUCUCAGGUCAGGCUCCUGUACCUGUCCAUUUACAGUCAUGUUUGGGCACAUAUUUCUCCCUGCCCCAUCGUGUUAAAAUAGCCUUACCGGCUCCUGAUGAUGGGGGUCAAUGAUCCCUGCCAAAAUGGUGACUGCUCUUCUUGCCUGCUGCUCCCUGGACACAAGAACCCCAAAGUGUUAGGGCAACAGCUGUAGCUUACGAUUCCAUGCACUUUGCUGGGUCCCCUGGCAAAAUGGGGUCCUCUUUGGGGCCAAGGACCUCUAACCCUACAAAGCCUAGCGAUGUGGCGACAGGAAACACAAAGUCCCUCAAAAUGGGGUCAACGAGAAUGAUGGUAAAUAGGGCCACAUGGGCUUAUGUAUUCUUCCUGUUGGGAUACAAAGCUACGUAAAGAUGUUGGCUUGACGCACAGGGUGUUCUCUGGAGAAUGCAUCCUCACAGAGCAGUGGCUCCAGCUGGCGCGUCAGCUCCGCCUUCAGCAGGCUGUUCAGCCCCAUCAGGCUGGCGGUGUCUGGCUGAUACAAUCAGUGGAUCCCAUGGUCAUGGCCCAUUUCCACAACUCCUUGCUGGUUAAGUUAGUUCCCCUGUCUGACACAAUGUGGGGUCUGGUGCUCGUGGGUCACACCCUCUCUAAGUCCUCAGAUAGUGGUGCUGGAUGACGCUUUACAGGUAGGAGAGGAAAGCUCAUAGCAGAAUAUGUCCUAUGGGAACAAACUGCUGACCCUUCCAAAAUGGAAGGGGCCUAAUGUGACCAACUUGCCGUCAAGUAGCCAGUUAGCCUCAUUGAGGAAUGAGGGGCUCAGUACUGAUCUCUGUUGCAGACAAACUGGCCGUUGGACAGUGGCCUAGCUAAAUCAGUCUUGGCAGGUGUUGGAACUACAGUGAGUCCUUGCUUUGCCUGGUUUCAAUACGCACAGACUUCCAUUAAGUAACACCAGUCCCCCAACAACCGUGGUUGAAAUUUCAGUUAUAACAGCAUCUUCACUGUGCAUGACCGCAUAGAGUACAAACCCCAAGGUUAGCUCUUCAGUCCACAAAUCACUAUGUAAAUAGAGGAUGCCUGUCAUGGUCAGUACUGAUCACAUCACUUCUUUCAAAAACAGUUUGCGGUUGUUCACUGCCCAUCUUUGCUCAGUUCACAUAGGCAGCCAAGCAUCUAGCUGUGUGGCCUAUUUCCCCAUGGAGAAACCCAAGUGACAGUUGACAAUAAUGGAUACUCGAAAGAGGGAAUUGGCCAACAAAGACGAAAGUGCAGCAAAAAAUUCCAGAAGUGAUAAUGCCGGAAGUGCAAUUUGAGUCAAACAAAUUGUAGAAGAAACAGCUGCCUGUGGGAACAUGGCCCCCCACUGCCCUCCGGGAGCCUCUAGAUAGAUGUGCAGCAAAGGAACUUAGCG